rnacentral:miRNA from 1 species
ACCCGGGCGGGGGCCGUUGGGGAAGCCGCGGCCUGGACCGGGACCCACCGGCGGCUCCCCCUGGGGCAGGGCUCUGACCCGCACUCGGCCUGCGGUAAGCAGCGCCCCACUGCGCGAUGGGGGCUGAGGGC